GUAUUUUGUUUUUAGAGGAAAUAAGCCUCCCCAGAGCUCCGGGUUCGCGGCCCUCGCCUCCGCCCUCCACCCGCCCGGCGGAGAGCUGCUCGUCCUCGCCCCCACCCGCUGGUCACCGACUUCCCGGGAAGUUGAGCCCAGAGAGGAGGAAAUGGCCAGUGACAUGGCCAGCAUUUGAAGUCAGUUCUCUGCCUCCGACUGUGGUCUCUUGCCUUCACCUCUGCUCUCUCUCAGCCUGCUCUCGCCACGCCCAGGCCCGGGUCUGCGCUCCGGGCAGACGCCAUCCCCCAGUUCCAGAAUGUGUCGCCCCCAGGCCUGCGCUCGGCCCGUUCCUCCGCCCGGAUCGCCGCCCUCCUCCUCCUGUUUGCGGCGUGAACUCCAUUCCUCCAGAUCCGGCUGAAAGGCAGCUCCCUCGAGAAGUUUUUCUGGACUCCCACCUGCAUCCAAAUAAAGGGGCGGAUUCCUCUUUCCUGCCUGGCGUGAAGAUUGCCUCCCGCGUGUGUUAACACGUAAAUGGGGUUCGCCAGUCUCUCUCCCUCUUAAUCGCUUAUGACCUCCCUGGGCAUCCCCCCGCCGCUGCCAAAACUCUGCGGGUGGGGCGGGCCCGCAGUUGCGCGUGUUUUGCGCAGAGUGCCGGCGCGAGCGAGCGCUCAGCGGACGCGGGUGAGGUCCGCGCCGCCCCGCGCGCUGGGUCCCAUCCCGUCCGUGUCCUUCACGGCGAUCGUUGUCUUCGCCGGGCUGCGAGCCUCGGGGGCGACUGUCCUCUGCAGGAAUCAGGGAGCCUCUGCUGGCUUUCCAGCCGGAGAGUUUCUUGAUCCACAGGCAGCACAGAGACUUGCUCACGGACUGAAGUUGUGGGCCGCCCGGUGUCCAGGCCCGCGCCUUUGGCGUCUGUCCCUGGAAGGGCUUCGUGUUACACAGAGGAGGCUGGGGAGGAGAAGCGCUUUGCCUUCAUUCUCUGUUUAUUCAAGAACGUUGCCCGCUGCUGCCUAGGAGCUGUUCUGGGCACCAGCGCUGUAGCAGCGAGCGAAGCGGAGAAAACAUGGCUCGUGGCGUUUUCAUUCCCCUGCGGGAUAUGGACAAUCAAUAAAGAAAUAAAUCUAUCAGUCCAGAUGGUAAUAGAUAUUAUGAAGAAAGAGCAGGGACCACCACAGACCCAGAGGAGCACGGGCAGACCCCUUUAGACUCAAGGUGAAGAAGGGCUGCUCGAAGAAGCCGCGUCUGGAGAGCUGUGAAUGGGAAGUGUGUUCCAGGCAGAGGGGCAGCAUUUGCAAAGGCCCUGAGGUGGAAAUAAGCUGGGUGCCUAGAGGAACAGCAAGGUGGCUGGAGAGGCAGCACGGACAGUGCCUGCGCUGGGUCCCGGGUGGUGCUCUGUGGCCCCUGCUGGGGUCAGAGGAGAAUUUGGAGGUUCUGGAGAAGCUUCCAGCCGGCUGCUCUGUUGUUCUCUGAAUGCAGACGGUGGUGGAGCCCUGUCUUGGCCCGCAGCCGUUAGGAUAUUUCUCAGGGAAAGCCCUUGGACCAAGAAGUCUGUUUUUUCGUUGGAAACUAUGAGACUCUCUGCAAAAACAAAGGAAUUUGGAUUCUGUUCAGGAAAAAUGUAACCUACAAACAAAUAGCCUUGGAAAAUCUGUGCCUCCCCCUCGGUGCCUGGGUCAGGCACAGGGACAGCCCCACCCCCGAGCUGCUUUCGAGCUGGAGGCCACCUCCUUUUUCCUCUUCUGUGUGUUGUCUCUGGCUGCCCAGAGGGCAGUGCCUCCUCUCCAUGCCUUCCCCUGCCCUGCCGCCCAGGGCCCCUGUCUCUGCAGUGCCCUUGAUCUGGUUGGAAUGCUCUUCCCUUCCCUCGCUGCAACCCUUCCUCAUUCUUUAAGACCCAGUUCCAAUGUCUCCCCUCCGGUUCUGAGUUCCCCAGGUGGCUAGUUGCUCUGCUAUUAUGUUGCUCUGAAUAAUUUCGAAUUUAAAUAUACUUCCCUUUUCUUUCAGAUAGCAAUCCCUGAUUUUAUUCUUUUAGGAAAUAUGGUAAUAAUACUGACUGCCACUCUUAAACUCUUGCUAUGUGCCAAGCGGGGUUGUACAUUAUGGUACCCACUGCAUGCGCAAAGUGAUUAGGAAAAAACUGGCACAUAGUGAGGAGUCAGUAAAAGUUACUUCUUAUUAUCCUUCUUUUAUCUUAAUUCUCGCAUAGCACUUGCAGCAAGUAAGAUUUGUCAUGCACAUUAUGAUGAUCGGGUUCCUCGUCUGUGAGCUCCUUGAAGGUGGGGACUGUGUCUUCUUGCUUGUCCAAGUCUGUGGACGUGCAAAGGGUGUUUGGUGAGUGAACAUUUAGCCAUUGAAACUGAUGACUGAGUGCCGAGAUUUACUUUGUGAGUUUCCAAAUCAACUGAGAGUGGCUUUGGCCUUAAGAAUAGGUAUGGGGACUCAGAAGAUCUGGGCUUAAUUCUAUUCCAGCUACCUGCCAGCUUUGUGACCUUGGGUACAUCAGCCAAUCUUUUCUGAACCCAAAAACCUAUUUUUCAAAAUGGGUGUCAUAGUCCCUAACUUGCCUUCCUCACAGGUUUUCCUUGAGCGUCAGAUGAGCUCACACAUAGGAGAGUUUUGUGAAUUGUAAAGUAUUUUACACACGUGAGACAUUAUUGUUGGAAUCAUUUUGGACCCCGUGCCAUCACCACCAAACGUGGCAGAAUAUGAGCCCUCGGGUAGCUCUAGCUGGACAAAUAGCAAUGUGCUGCUUUUGGUUUUCACAGUGUUUAAAAAUGUAGUCCCGUAAUGUUUGUAACCGGUGUUUCUUCUCCUCAAAGCAUGCAUCCAAGGUAUUAGUCUCAGUCCUUUUAAAGGUUUUAAAAAGGGCCUUGAUUUUCCUGCUUGGCUGCUGUAAAAUCUAUAACCCUGAACGUCACGGUGACGUUCUCUCUCAGGAAACGUCCGCAAGAAUUGUAACUGAACAAAAACAGUAUUUAUUUUCCUUUUUAAUUCAAGAAGCUAAAUGCUAGGGAGUAGAAGGAGAGAUGAGAAGAAGUGUAAGAGAUGGGCUUGCUCUCAGGGAGCUCACAGGCUGGUUUGGGAGCCGGGUCUGGGUCCUAGGCUUGUGGGCAAAGGACGUGAUCUGAGGAAGGAGAGACCUGCAGUGUUGAGGUGGUCUGUGAAGGUUGCAGGGAGAAAGCGGGCCUGUGUUAAGCUUAAAGGAAGACCAUUGUUUGGACCACGACCCUGGGAGCAUAAUUCAUAAGCCAGGGCCCGGCCGCUGACUACUGCUGCUCUCAGUUCCCCUUUCAGCAGGAUUGUGAUUUCUUUAGUUCUUGGGGGCUCAGGAGGAAGACAUGAGGACGUUCUAGACAUGCACUCACGGACAAACGUCUGAAUCCAAAAAACUAAUAUUUUGUGACCGAUGCUUUCAUGAUGAGGAAAUAAAAA